AGUCAUGGGCUGUAAUCUCUAGCAAUGAUUUACCAUACAUUUUAUCUUGGUAGCGUCUGUGCAAAAGGAGGAGAUUUUCUGAAAAAGAAUAAGUGGUUGUUCAACUAACAGCAGCGAUUUUAACAGGCUUAAAGCUGGUCCAUGGAUGGUUAUGUAUGAGGAUUUGCCAAUUCGACUGCAAGUGCUGCUGCAAGAAAUUAAACAUGCAGUGACCUUACAAAUUACAAUUAGAAGUCUGAAGAAAAUUUUUAUUGCACAUAUGGGUGUAAAGCACAGACCUGAGAUAUAAACUGAAUUGUGAGAAAUAUGAAUCAGGAAUGCAGGUAGAAAAUGGCAAAUGUGAUCCAGAUUGAUAAAAAAUGUCUAUAAAAUUGCUUCUUUUUUUUUUUUUUUUUUUUUUUUUUUUUUU